rnacentral:rRNA from 1 species
UACGUAGGGGGCGAGCGUUGUCCGGAAUCAUUGGGCGUAAAGCGCGUGUAGGCGGCCCGGUAAGUCCGCUGUGAAAGUCCAGGGUUCAACCCUGGGAUGCCGGUGGAUACUGUCGGGCUCGAGUCCGGAAGAGGCGAGUGGAAUUCCUGGUGUAGCGGUGAAAUGCGCAGAUAUCAGGAGGAACACCAAUGGCGAAGGCAGCUCGCUGGGACGUGACUGACGCUGAGACGCGAAAGCGUGGGGAGCAAACAGG